GACGAACGCUGGCGGCGUGCUUAACACAUGCAAGUCGAACGGUGAAGCGCUUGCCUUUUUGGUGGGUGUGGAUGAGUGGCGAACGGGUGAGUAACACGUGAGUAACCUGCCCUCUUCUUCUGGAUAACCUCAUGAAAGUGGGGCUAAUACGGGGUAUUCCGGGUCUGUCGCAUGGCGGGUUUGGGAAAGAUUGCGCCUUUGGGUGUUUUCGGUGGGGGAUGGGCUCGCGGCCUAUCAGCUUGUUGGUGGGGUGAUGGCCUACCAAGGCGGUGACGGGUAGCCGGCCUGAGAGGGUGGACGGCCACACUGGGACUGAGACACGGCCCAGACUCCUGCGGGAGGCAGCAGUGGGGAAUAUUGCACAAUGGGCGCAAGCCUGAUGCAGCGACGCCGCGUGAGGGAUGGAGGCCUUCGGGUUGUGAACCUCUUUCGCCAGUGAAGCAGGCCUGCCUCGUUUGAGGGUGGGUUGACGGUAGCUGGAUAAGAAGCGCCGGCUAACUACGUG
rnacentral:rRNA from 1 species